GCUAACUAAAUAAUUUAUGUCUGUCGAUUUGUUCACGUUUUUUCUUGGUUUUGUUUGAUGCAAGCGGUGUCAUGCUAAAUGCUGGUUUUCUUUUCCGCGACUGAAACAUAAAAAAUGACGGUAUGGAUAAAAAACGAAAAAAUAAUAUCCUUUUCCUGGCUACUGACUGGUUCAUCUUCGACGGGGAGAUCGAUAGCGGGACUGAGAUGGGCAAAUACAAAAUUCCUCGAAUUUUUAGGCUUCGUGAUAGCUUGAUUACUACUAUUUUGCUUCGUAAUCCGAGAGAGUCUUGCUAAUGAUUCUUCUCCCCUAGCCAAGAAUGAACCUCGAUGGAUCGCGCUCUGUGUUAGAUGUGAUAAUAAAAUACUAAAGAUAUUGUCUAUUUCUCGAUGUCAAUAAAUACUGUUAGUCUGAAUCAAAA